AUUUUUGCACAGUGGCAGUAUCAUAGCCUAUGAGGUUCAUCCGAGGCGUGAUUAUUGCUAGUUGAAAACUUUACCAAAUACCCCGCCUUGGUUAUUUGAAAUAUAAUCAUCAAAGGCAAUUUUUUGACAGUCUCAAUGGAGA